rnacentral:lncRNA from 13 species
UGUUUGUGCUUCAAGACUUUCAGUUUAUAUUUAGCACAGGGGCUGUCUCCAGCUGGCUCACCAUGAUACCACCAGGGCUUACUUA